AGGCGGGGGUGCACGAGAGUCACACCUGACGUAGGAAGCCUUUCCGUUCCGGCUGCACCUGAAGCGCUCGCGCGCGCGUGAGUCCGCGCAGCUGUGCAGAAGAGCUCGCGCGUGCGGCGGUUAGUGGCGGCGGCUCAGCUACCUCGCCGUUGUUUAGAGACCCCGUCUCAGCGGCCCCCGAGAAGACUUUGUAUUCUGGAGAAGAACAGGACACCGUUCUGGAGAGCCGGCCUGUCGGAAAUAACUGCGCCGUUGACUGAAUGGGGUGCUGCGGCGAGAGGCCGUUCUAGAGAAGUUGGUGUUUCAAGAAAGCGCCAUAAAGAACGUUUGCUGUUCAGUCUCGACUCUGAAACGAGUAAAAACUUGCCCUGAAAAGUCCGAAACGAUUUUUAGUUUCCUGCUUUAAAAGACAGCGAACCGGCCUUGGGUGGUUGGUUCCUUCUCGCGCGAUUGAAUUAGAGGGCAGAGGUCCUCCCCGUGGCAGCCCCAGGCUGAGAAGAAACAGUGAAGCAAUUUUAGACGCUGCUGUCCACAGGGACUUAGCCAUGGGAUUGGCGACUUGUUUUCGGGAAGUCAGCAGAUUUGCUGACUUGGCUCCGUAGAUGACACAGACUUUGUCCCCAUGGGCCGGGGCACCCGAGGUCAGUGCUGUCCCAGCUGUCCCAUCAGCUUCUCCUUCGGCGGGUCACUGCAGGCCACAGAUGUCCUGCUUGUCUCCUGCGUGUGGAGGGAGCGGGAGGGCCAAGGGGAGGAAGCAGAAGCUUCUCUGGGCAGCCUGACCCCUGCAUGUGGACCUGGUCUUGUUUGAUGUGUGGCUUCUGGCGUCUGUGGCCGGCCAGGCCUCGCCCUGCAGCCUGGGGAGCCUGCGGACUGUGAGUCCUGGGCGGGGGUUUAUUCUGUCCAUCCUGGGGGGUCUGGAGUGAAGGCGUGGGCGGCUGCAGGCUUUGGGGGACAUCUGCUCCGUGUGUCUGUCCCAGCUGCUGGAGACCCCUGGGCUGGCAGCCGGGGCCCUCCAGGCCCCGCCUCGUGUUCCCUCUGCAGGUGUCAGCCUCUGUGCCUCCGCUUGUCCCCCCGCAGGCGUGGAUGGCCGUGGGAAGGACCCUGCCACAGCCCGGCGCUCUGAUACCUGCUUCCUCUCGGGCCCGUCCACCUGCUCCAGUGCCGAGGGCCUGUGGGCAUCUGGGGGCCACCACUCCGCCCCCUUCGGAUGACAGGGCCUCCUUUUAUAGGACAGAAAGCAAGAAUGCAAGAUAGAAGGAAGAGAGAACUUCCUACCCCAGCAAAUGCCCCCCGUACGUCCCCGUUCCGCCCCGGCCCCUGUGCUGGGGCACAUCAUUUAGGUCUUGCAUCUGGAAAUCCUAGCUUUCCUGUGUUUCUUGUUCAGCUGUUGAAGCCCUGGCAGGGAGGCUCAUGUGUUUUGUGGGAAGGGUCUGCCCCGUGGGGUCUGCAUGUGGGAAGACAGCCGGUCGGCUCCGGGAGCAGGGCAGACGGUCUUGCCUCAGUCCUCAGCGAUGUGUACAGCUGCUAGAAGCCUGUCCCUGCACUUGCCCUCCUUCCUGUGGGCGAGCGGCGAGCGUGGCCAGGACCACGGUCUCCUGCUGCCUGUGGGGCCCAGCGGGUCUGGGGGUGGGACCCAGCUGUGGGCCACCGCGGACCGCCUGCCCAGAAGGUGAGCUGCUCACGGCUGCCAGGCCACCAUGCGGGGGCACUCUCCAUUCCAGGGGGGAUCGGGGCCUCCCUGGAGACAGUCUGGAGCUGGGAGAGCGGGAGGGGACACGGGCCACUGAGACCGCGCACCCUCUGGGGAGCCCUGGCUUUCAACAGCCUCGUUCCUGAGGGAACGGGUGUGAUCGUUCCAGAGAAACGGGUGUGAUCCUCCGGCUUCCCCAGAGGCACAGAACCAGUAGGACGUGGAAGUAAAUGUAAUUAUAAAAAUGGAAACAUAAAUUUAUAUAUAUAUUUAACAUUUAAUUAUAUUAACACAUAACAUAAAACAUUUUUGUAUUUACAUGUAUAUGUAUUGCACAUAAUUGAUAUAUUAAAUAUAUAUUAUGUAAAUGCAAAAUUUGUAUAUAAUUAUAAUAUGUAUACGUUCAUGAGUUUAUAAAUAAAUACACAAUAAAGAAGGAAGGAGUAAGGGAGAGAGGGAGGGAGCCGGCGGCGGGGGUGGAACUCUCUAGUCUGAAAUCUGCGGGGCAUGCUGGCAGGCGGGAGACCGGGGAAGAGCUGCUGUGGCAGUCUGGAGUUCCGGAUCUGUGAGGCAGCUGGCUGAGAGGCUCUGUCACUCAGGCUGCGGUGUGGAGGCAGAAAUCCUUUCCAGGAAAUCCCAGGCUCUGAUGGCCUUCAACUGAUUAGACAAGGCCCACCCGCAUCGUGGAAGACCAUCUACAUGCUCAGAGUCAGCUGACUGCAGGUCUCUAACCUUCAUGGUCACAUCUGCACUAAUGCUGGAGACCAGACGGGCACUGCCGCCUUGUGGUUAGCUGACACACAGGUGUGUGGUGUGUGGGGGCUCCCUGUGUGCGGCCUGGGACCCCUGGGGGAUGGUGGAUCCUUGUUGGAAGCAUCCUUGCCUCUGCUCUGUGCGCACACUGGGAGACAGCACACCGGCUGCACCCCGUGCUGGCCCCGGACGGCCAGGCCUUUCAUCACCCCGGGGGCACAGGUGCGGCUUUUCUCUUAAUGCCCGAAGGGGCUUCAAGCAUCUGUGAACCUUGCUGGGGGUGGCCGUGUCCCCAGGCCUUUCUCCAGCCGUGCUUAUCGUCUGUUCCGAAGCACAGCCAGGUGGGAACGUUGCAGAUUCCGCCCGUGGCGGUGGACUCGAGCCAGAACACAGCCGGGAUGUUCGAGCUGCAGUAAUCUCACAGGUCGUGUGUAUAGUCCCACAGUGGGACUUGAGGGCAUAAAAGAGGGAUUCUAU